rnacentral:rRNA from 1 species
ACAAACGACUCUCGGCAACGGAUAUCUCGGCUCACGC